rnacentral:lncRNA from 1 species
UGCUUGAACACCCAUCACACGAUAUCUGAAACAAUCUGCUUUGGUUUUUGCAUUGCACAUGAAAAUCAUUCCACCAAGACUAUUUACAGUUUUUAUAUCCUUAUUGUUCACCUCUCCGCUUCCUCCAUUUAAACCAAGGUUCUUAGUUUUUUGGUUUUUAUAUCCUUGUUGUUCACCUCUCCGCUUCCUCCAUUUAAACCAAGGUUCUUAGUUUUUUCAUCCUUAUUCACCUCUCCACAUCUUCCACUCAUAUUUUCCAUUUCUUUGUUCCCCAGAUUCUUAUUCUGAGACCCAUUAGCAUCUUUUCCACCAUCACGAUUUCCUUCGUUGCCAUCUUUUGCCU